rnacentral:rRNA from 1 species
AUGCAAGUCGAGCGAAUGGAUUAAGAGCUUGCUCUUAUGAAGUUAGCGGCGGACGGGUGAGUAACACGUGGGUAACCUGCCCAUAAGACUGGGAUAACUCCGGGAAACCGGGGCUAAUACCGGAUAAUAUUUUGAACCGCAUGGUUCGAAAUUGAAAGGCGGCUUCGGCUGUCACUUAUGGAUGGACCCGCGUCGCAUUAGCUAGUUGGUGAGGUAACGGCUCACCAAGGCAACGAUGCGUAGCCGACCUGAGAGGGUGAUCGGCCACACUGGGACUGAGACACGGCCCAGACUCCUACGGGAGGCAGCAGUAGGGAAUCUUCCGCAAUGGACGAAAGUCUGACGGAGCAACGCCGCGUGAGUGAUGAAGGCUUUCGGGUCGUAAAACUCUGUUGUUAGGGAAGAACAAGUGCUAGUUGAAUAAGCUGGCACCUUGACGGUACCUAACCAGAAAGCCACGGCUAACUACGUGCCAGCAGCCGCGGUAAUACGUAGGUGGCAAGCGUUAUCCGGAAUUAUUGGGCGUAAAGCGCGCGCAGGUGGUUUCUUAAGUCUGAUGUGAAAGCCCACGGCUCAACCGUGGAGGGUCAUUGGAAACUGGGAGACUUGAGUGCAGAAGAGGAAAGUGGAAUUCCAUGUGUAGCGGUGAAAUGCGUAGAGAUAUGGAGGAACACCAGUGGCGAAGGCGACUUUCUGGUCUGUAACUGA